rnacentral:rRNA from 1 species
AUGCACGCUAGCUACAGGCUUAACACAUGCAAGUCGCGGGGCAGCAUGGGGGUUGCUUGCAACUCCCGAUGGCGACCGGCGCACGGGUGAGUAACGCGUAUCCAACCUGCCCUUCACCACGGGAUAACCCGGCGAAAGUCGGACUAAUACCGUAUGUUGUCCAUUGACGGCAUCCGAUUUGGACGAAAGGCUUUGCGGUGAAGGAUGGGGAUGCGUCCGAUUAGCCAGACGGCGGGGUAACGGCCCACCGUGGCUACGAUCGGUAGGGGUUCUGAGAGGAAGGUCCCCCACACUGGAACUGAGACACGGUCCAGACUCCUACGGGAGGCAGCAGUGAGGAAUAUUGGUCAAUGGGCGUAAGCCUGAACCAGCCAAGUAGCGUGCAGGAUGACGGCCCUAUGGGUUGUAAACUGCUUUUAUGCGGGGAUAAAGUGGCCCACGUGUGGGCUUUUGCAGGUACCGCAUGAAUAAGGACCGGCUAAUUCCGUG